UAGGGAAUCUUCCACAAUGGACGCAAGUCUGAUGGAGCAACGCCGCGUGAGUGAAGAAGGUCUUCGGAUCGUAAAACUCUGUUGUUAGAGAAGAACACGAGUGAGAAUAACUGUUCAUUCGAUGACGGUAUCUAACCAGCAAGUCACGGCUAACUACGUGCCAGCAGCCGCGGUAAUACGUAGGUGGCAAGCGUUGUCCGGAUUUAUUGGGCGUAAAGGGAACGCAGGCGGUCUUUUAAGUCUGAUGUGAAAGCCUUCGGCUUAACCGGAGUAGUGCAUUGGAAACUGGAAGACUUGAGUGCAGAAGAGGAGAGUGGAACUCCAUGUGUAGCGGUGAAAUGCGUAGAUAUAUGGAAGAACACCAGUGGCGAAAGCGGCUCUCUGGUCUGUAACUGACGCUGAGGUUCGAAAGCGUGGGUAGCAAACAGGAUUAGAUACCCUGGUAGUCCACGCCGUAAACGAUGAAUGCUAGGUGUUGGAGGGUUUCCGCCCUUCAGUGCCGCAGCUAACGCAAUAAGCAUUCCGCCUGGGGAGUACGACCGCAAGGUUG
rnacentral:rRNA from 1 species